AUGUUGAAGUGUAUGGCUUGGCUUUGGGAGGUCUGGGAAAGCAGAGACACAUUCAUCUGCUCUUGGUGUGUUCUCAAGGAUUCUUGUUCUCGCAGGUGUUUGUGGUCUUCCGUUUGUGCACCGGAAGUCAAAUGUAGAUCUUUCAUCUGCAGUUUCUGCUCUUAUUGUUCUCAGACUGUGUAUGAUCUGGAUCAAGUCGAGCUCCAGAUCUCGUCGUGUUGGUUUCUGACUUCCGGUUCAUCGAGUCUUCCACUCGUCGCAUCGAAAACCACUCGACGUCUGCAGCCUCUCAGGCAGAGAAGAGAUUAUUAA
ensembl:lncRNA